GCGGUGCUUCCUGCGGACACAGGCGCUUCGAGGCGGCUAGGGCGGCGGCUCAGCGCUGGGGUUCGUCCCCUCCCCGCCCGGCCCGCGGGCUUCGCCGCCUGGGUCUUCCCUGGGCGCCAGCCGUCCCGUGCGCGGUCUGGCCGCUGGAAGCCCGGAGGCUCUCGGAAGUUUUGAUUUGGAACCAGGAAAGGGUUUGAACUCUCUCAGAGUUGUGGGGAGAGGCCACGGUUUCCGGACGUGAAGAACGUCGAAGAAAUUGUUGUUGGCGGUUAUUAGGUUGUGGUUUUCACAUGCGGCCAGCCCAGGAGCUGAGAUUUUAAGAGAUUAUCCCUCCUCCCUUACCCCGCCAGAGACUUAGAAAUAAGGGAACUGACAAGUGAAACAACUUGAGGAAUGGAGAUGUGAACAGCUAACGGGACACCUGCCUCUCCGGGAUCUUAUCUUGGGUAUAGUAGUUCCUUCGUGGAUGUUUGUGCAGUGGAGGAUGGAGUGAAUGAAUGUGCAAAUGAACAAGGAGCAAACACACGUAGGAUUUAGGUGGCAAAUCUCCCUGAAGACCCUUAGUGUGCCUGUCCUCCAUGAGACUGGUGGCUCUUUGCAGAGGCCUUUGCUGACAACACCUCCUCCAUAUGGAAGGCCAUUUGACGUGCUUCAGAGUGGCAAUAUCCAACCCGUUCUCUAAAGCCCAACUUCUGUGCCAUCUCCCGAACGAUGUCCCUCUAAACUCAUUCGCCUCCAGAUUCCCAGACUCACUUUGUGAACCUCCUCUGAAGGAUUUAGCACGUUAUUUCCUGCAUGUACAGUAACUCGCAUAUGCAACUUGCUUACGUGGUUGAGGGCAGGGACUGUACUGCAGUGGUGUUCGUAUCUCUCCAGCUCCUAACAGAGGAACUUACACAUGAGAAACUCUCAAGGCACCAGCUGUGAAGGCCAGCUGGGGAGAGCCUAGCCUGUCUGUGCUGAGUUCCCAUUUAGGCUCAAAGACUAGAUCCAACGUGGAAGAACAUGGUUUUUUGGCUUCCAAACCAGGUAACUCUGGGCAUCAGACCACAAUCUUCUUAUCAGACCACAACAUUAGUAUUUGCCACCUUGGACAUCACAGGUACAGAGUCAAAGAAGACCAGCACCGCAAAUCCGUUGAAAAGGCCUGGACUGUUGUUACUGAGUUGGUAUUGCAAACUUGGUGGGUGCAAACGGUGAGGUGUAUUUUUUCUUUUUCUUUUUUUCAUUGCUUUAUGAGCCAGGUCAACAUAAGCACUGAGGAGAGAUGCCUGGAUUGCUCCCAAAGAGGAGGCAAUAUGAGCAUAAUUUUCAAGUUAUCCCUGAUUUAUCCCUGAUGGAAAUUUCCAUGAAUGUGUCUUUGGAUUGAGGAGUCAGUUGAUUGGAUUCAUAUGGAAGUCUGCAAAGGGCUCUGAGUAACCAGUCUCCUUCACUUUUUUGUUUAUGUUUUUCCUCUUCAUUCACUCUUUGUUACUGAGAUAUAAUUCACUUUCCAUGAAACCCUUUUCAAGUGUGUGAUUUGGUGGCAGUUAUCAUAUUCACAAACUUGUACAGCCCUCAUCACCAUCUUUCCAGAACAUUUUCAUCACCUCUUUCAGAGGUGAUGAAACUCCCCACCCACCUCAAGCCCCCACCCUGGGAACCACUAAUCUACUCUCUGGUUUACAAUGUUUUGUAAUUUUCGUGGUACUAGUCUUGCACUGCUUUUGUUAUAUUCAUUUACUUUUUUUUAAUGAUUAUUUAUUUUAGAGAGAGAGAGAGCAUGAGUGAGGGAGGGGCAGAGAGAGGGACAGAGGAUCCAAAGCAGACUCCAUGCUGACAGCAGACAGCCUGAUGUGGGGCUCGAUCCCACGAACCAUGAGAUCAUGACCUGAGCUGAAGUCGGAUGCUUAACCAUCUGAGCCACCCAGGCACCUGUCAGGUUUUUUCUACUUCGCUGUUCCUCUGUCCUUCACAGAGACCUUCAUUCUCAAGCCUCUUAUCUCAUGAUUGCAAAGUGGCUGCUGCACUGCCAGGCCUCACACUUCCAUUCCAGGCAGGAAGGAAGGAGGAAGGGUGAGAGGAUGCAGAGCUUAUAUUUAGCAAGUCCUUAUCUUCUUAUUUAGGAGGCGACGCCCUCCCUCAAGCUUGGGAAAGCCAAGUGUCUUCUUUUAUUAACUGUCUUAUUUAAUCCCUAUUUUAAUAGUCUCAAGUAGGUAAUAUUUUCCCUGCUUUACAGAUGUGGAAGCAUAGAGAACUUAGUAACUUUCCCAAGGUCACACUGUCCGGGGCUGAGCUAAGACUAACAGUAAUAACACACUACAUCUUUCCAGCCUGUGUUCUGCUAUUGCAUACAAAGCACUUCCCCAUUUGUUUCUCCAUUUGGGUCUCGCAAAACUCUGAGAUGGGCAAGGAAGGUAUUGGAAUAGCCUCGUUUCGCAGGAGAGGAAUUUGAGACACAGAGAAGUAAACGGUGACUUACCCAAGGCACCCAGCCAGCAACUUUCAUUCAACUGGGUUAAUCUCAGGUCUAGUGUCCUGUCUUCUGGACCCCCUUGAGAGGUCAAGGAGCACUUUCAAUGAGGGAGACAGACGCACAGAAAAGGUGCAAAUGGAUUUCAUGUGCUUCAGGUUUGCAUAGGCUCAGCUUUUGGGGGGCUUUUCUGCUGAUUCUCUGCUUCCUUUUUUCCUGUAGUUUCCAUCCCUGUCAUAUAUUUAUUUUCUAACAGGAAAUUUGUAUCUCUUCAUCCCCUUUGCCAUUUCACCCAUCCCCACCCCCACCCCAGGCCCCUCUGGCAGUCACUAGUUUGUUCUCUGUAUGAGUCCACUCAUGUUUUGUUUCGCUGCUUUUUGGAUUCCAUUUGUAAGCAAAAUCGUAUAGUAUUUGUUGUUUUCUGACUUAUUUUACAUAGCAGAAUACUCUCUAGGUCUAUCCAUAUUGUUGGGAAUCACAAGAUCACAUUCUUUUUUAUGGCCGAGUAAUAUUCCAUUGUGUGUGUGUGUGUGUGUGUGUGUGUGUGUGUGUGUGUGUGUGCGCGCGCAUGCAUACACACACAUCUUCUUAACUGUUCAUCUAUCCAUGGACACUUAGGUUGCUUCCAUAUCUGGGCUAUUGUAAAUAAUGCUGUAAUAAACAUAGAGGUGCAUAUAUCUUUUUGAAUUAGUGCUUCAUUUUCUUUGGGGAAAUACUCAGAAGGGAAUUACUGGUUUAUAUGGUACUUCUAUUUUUAAUUCUUUGAGAAACCUCCUUACUGUUUUCCAUGGCAGCUGUGCCAAUUUACGAUCCCACCAACAACGCGUGAGGGUUCUCUUUUCCCCACAUCCUCACCAACACUUGUUAUUUCUUUUGUUCGUUUGUUUUUCAUGUUUAUUUAUUUUAAGAGAGAAAGAGAGGGAGAGAGAGAAUCCCAAGCAGGCUCUGCGCUGACAGCCCCAAUGUGGGGCUGGAUGCCACGAACUGUGAGGUGAUGACCUGAGCCUCGAUGAUGACCGAGGCUUCAUGGACCGAGCCACCCAGGCGCCCCUCAACAGUUGUUAUUUCUUAUGUUUUUGAUUUUAGCCAUCCUGACUUGCAUGAAGUGACGUCUCACUGUGGUUUUGAUUUGUGUUUGCCUGAUGAUGAGUGAUGAUGAGCAUCUCUUCGUGUGGACCCUGGCUCUGACGUUCCCGCAGGGAUGGGGGGGGGGUGUGUCUGGGACCAGGAGGAGAGGCACCAAGACUUUGUCUUAGAAUAGACUUGGCAUGCAGAGGGGGUCUGCAUCACCUUUCUGAACCAGUGGGUUUCACUCUUUGCACAUGUGUUUUCCAGCUUCACUUCCUGAGGCAUCUGCUGCUGGAAGGGGGGUUUCCUAGACUGAAAAGUCAGACUCCAUCUUAAAUAUUAUCUUCCUCUUCCUGAACACAGGUAACACAGAGGAGUGUAUGUUCCUGACAACCUAGUUUGAUUACAUGGUGAAAGGACAGAAGAGAAGACCAAGUCCAGUGGUCUGAAAUGCGUGCUGCACUGGCUGCUGACAUAAGCAAGCACACUGCCUGCUGGUUCAAGGGGCUGCCCCGGGAGCUAAUUACAGACACGAGGCUGUGUGGCCGGCAGACCGCGGCUGGAUGUGAUUAGAGGGUUUUGGAGUGUUGCCAUCUGCUCACUUUCAUGGACACAGGGGAAGCAGCCAGGGUAAUGUCCCCCUUCAGGCCUGUCUGCCCCAUCCUCCAACCUUCCAGCUGCUCCGGCUGAUGGCCUUGGAGGCAUCUUGACUCUUGUUUCACAUUCUUCAUCAGAUCCACGAGCAGACCGGCUGGCCCUGCUUUGAGCAUGUAUGCGUCAUCUCACUAAUGUUACUUGCCUCUGCUGGAGCUGUGCUGGACCAGGCUCCCGUCAUUUCACAACUGGGGCUACAGAAGCAGCCUCCUGGCUGGUUUUCUUGCUUCUGCUCUGCGUUUUUUGUUUUUCAAAUUUUUUAAUAUUUAUUUAUUUUUGAGAGAGAGAGAGAGAGCACAAGUGGAAGAGGGGCAGAGAGAGAGGGAGACACAGCAUCUGAAGCAGGCUCCAGGCUCCGAGCUGUCAGCACAGAGCCCGAUGUGGGGCUUGAGCCCACGAAUCAUGAGAUCAUGACCUGAGCUGAAGUUGGACCUUCAGCCGACUGAGCUACCCAGGCGCCCCUGCUCUGUCUUCUUAUGCUUGGCGUUCAACACAGUGGGUAGGGGGAUCCUUUUUACAGAUUUAAGACAUCAUGGAACCGCCCUCAAUUCUUCUCUGAAUUUUCCAGAUCCUCAUCCUGCUCAGAGGAAAACCUCAAGUCUGUCCAGGGGCUUGUCACCCCCAUGGUUCUUUGAAUUGAUCUGCCACUCUCCCUGGCUUUCUGGACUUAGGCCACACUGGCCUCCUUCCUGUUGCUGGAGCAUGUCAGGCAGGCUUCGGUCUCCACACCAUUCCUGCUGCCCUGAUGGCUCCCUCUGCCUAUGACGUGGUUCCCCAGAUAACCACAUAGUCCCCUUUCUCACCUCCUUCAAAUCUCUGUGCAAAUGUUUCCUUCUCAGUGAGACCUGAUCACCCUAUUUAAAACUGCAGCUAGGCCUGAAGCCCAGACUACAUUGUGUAUUAACUGACUUGAAUAUAAAUAAAAAGAAAAAAAAAAAAACAACAGAAGGCGGCAAAUCAUAAGAAACUCUUAAAUAGAGACAACAAGCUGAGGGUUGAUGGAGGGGAGGUGGGUGGGGGGAAUGGGCUACAUGGGUGAUGGACAUUAAGGAGGACACUAGUUGGGAUGAGUGCUGGGUGUUAUACGGAAGUGAUGAAUCACUAAAUUCUACUCCUAAAACCAAUACUACACUAUAUGCUAACUAUCUUGAAUUUAAAUAAUAAAAAAAGAUUGGAAAAAAAUAAAUAAAAGAUAAAAUGCAUGGAAAAGAAAUAAAGCUACAGCUAUGUAUUUAGAACUAUGUGUUAGUUUUGCUAUAGGUUUUUUUUUUUUUUUGUAGAUUUAAUAAAACCUUGGUUUGUGAGCAUAAUUCGUUCCAGAAACAAGCUUGUAAUCCAAAGCACUCACAUAUCAAAGUGAAUUUCAAGAACCAUCGGCUCAGUUGUGAUCAUGUGACAUUCGGUGUCACACAUUACUCAUAUUGCAAGACAUCACUCAUUUAUUAAGUUAAAAUUUAUUAGAAAUGUAGGAAAUAAUAAGCAUUUAUUAGAAAUAUAGGAAAUAGUAAACUAAAAGGCAACCGACAGAAUGGGAGAAGAUAUUUGCAAACGACAUAUCAGAUAAAGGGUUAGUAUCCAAAAUCUAUAAAGAACUUAUCAAACUCAACACCCAAAAAACAAAUAAUCCAGUGAAGAAAUGGGCAAAAGACAUGAAUAGACAAUUCUCCAAAGAAGACAUCCAGAUGGCCAACUGACACAUGAAAAAAUGCUCAGUAUCACUAAUCAGGGAAAUACAAAUCAAAACCAUAAUGAAAUACCACCUCACACCUGUCAGAAUGGCUCACAUUAACAACUCAGGCAACAACAGAUGUUGGCGAGGAUGCAGGGACAGAGGACGUCUUUUGCACUGCUGGUGGGAAUGCAAACUGGUGAAGCCACCCUGGAAAACGGUAUGGAAGUUCCUAAAAAAAUUAAAAAUAGAACAACCCUAUGACCCAGCAAUUGCACUACUAGGUAUUUAUCCAACGGAUACAGGUGUGCUGUUUCGAAGGGACACACACAUCCCAAUGUUUACAGCAGCACUAUCAGCAAUAGCCAAAGUAUGGAAAGAGUCCAAAUGUCCAUCAGUGGAUGAAUGGG